CUUUCAACAACGGAUCUCUUGGUUCCGGCAUCGAUGAAGAACGCAGCGAAAUGCGAUAAAUAAUGCGAAUUGCAGAAUUCAGUGAGUCAUCGAGUUUUUGAACGCACAUUGCGCCCUCUGGAAUUCCAGAGGGCAUAUCUGUUCGAGCGUC
rnacentral:rRNA from 1 species